UACAUAGGGUGCAAGCGUUGUCCGGAAUUAUUGGGCGUAAAGAGCUCGUAGGUGGUUUGUUACGUCGGUUGUGAAAUUCAGGGGCUCAACCCCUGACUUGCAGCCGAUACGGGCAAGCUAGAGUUUGGUAGGGGAGACUGGAAUUCCUGGUGUAGCGGUGGAAUGCGCAGAUAUCAGGAGGAACACCGAUGGCGAAGGCGACUCUCUGGACUGUAACUGACGCUGAGGCACGAAAGCGUGGGGAGCAAACAGG
rnacentral:rRNA from 1 species